AUACGGAGGAUGCGAGCGUUAUCCGGAUUUAUUGGGUUUAAAGGGAGCGUAGGUGGGAUAUUAAGUCAGCUGUGAAAGUUUGGGGCUCAACCUUAAAAUUGCAGUUGAUACUGGUUUCCUUGAGUACGGUAUAGGUGGGCGGAAUUCGUGGUGUAGCGGUGAAAUGCUUAGAUAUCACGAAGAACUCCGAUCGCGAAGGCAGCUCACCGGGCCGGAACUGACGCUGAUGCUCGAAAGUGCGGGUAUCAAACAGGAUUAGAUACCCUGGUAGGCCGCACAGUAAACGAUGAAUACUCGCUGUUUGCGAUACACUGUAAGCGGCCAAGCGAAAGCGUUAAGUAUUCCACCUGGGGAGUACGCCGGCAACGGUGAAACUCAAAGGAAUUGACGGGG
rnacentral:rRNA from 1 species